GAUGAACGCUGGCGGCGUGCUUAACACAUGCAAGUCGAACGAACCUUCGGGUUAGUGGCGGACGGGUGAGUAAUGCCUAGGAAUCUGCCUGGUAGUGGGGGAUAACGUUCGGAAACGGACGCUAAUACCGCAUACGUCCUACGGGAGAAAGCAGGGGACCUUCGGGCCUUGCGCUAUCAGAUGAGCCUAGGUCGGAUUAGCUAGUUGGUGAGGUAAUGGCUCACCAAGGCGACGAUCCGUAACUGGUCUGAGAGGAUGAUCAGUCACACUGGAACUGAGACACGGUCCAGACUCCUACGGGAGGCAG
rnacentral:rRNA from 1 species